UUGGAGUCGGUUAAAGGUUUUGCAAGUUUGAAGUAGACAACAGGAAAUGCCAAUGAGCUUGUGAUUGGCCAGUGAGGGUAUUACGGUAACGGUAUGUAGAUACUGAACGUGAUUGGCUACUGCAGCUUGCGGACUGGAAACCCCCUGAAAGAUCAGAGUUGAAAGAAACGAAAGUUGAGCCUAACUAUUGAUGCUGUCCAGAGAAGUGCGGAGGAAACACCAAAGAGCAGGAAAAGAAUAAGACAAAGUGAGCCUGCUUUUCAAGACACUGUUCCUACUUCAACAGUGAUCCUGCAUCAAGUAAAGCUUAGCAGUGUUUAGCAGCCUUCAACUUGACCACAACGCUGAAGUGAGAGCAGAACAUGGACGUGGUUGUGCGCAAUAACCGCAGAGGACACCGGGAGUUUGCUGUCCAGGCCGAGCACUUGAAACUGCCGGAACUAGGACUGAGACUGAAAGCUCAGGACAUUCACAACAACUACCUCUUCAAAGACAACAUCCCAGAAUACCCAAGGCCAGAGUUCUGGGUUUCCCAGCUCAGACACGACACAGAUGAAUACGGGCUAUUUGGCAUAGCCGUCGAAAGCGAUGGGGGGUUCUGUGCUAGGGACCGAGAAGAGGGGCCAGAGGACCCAGAAGAGGGGCCAGAGGGUUUGGACCUGCUGUGGUGGAGCUUGUCUUUGGGAGCAGAAGAGAUGGCCUCGGCUGAACAACGUCUGCUCCAGACCAGGUACCCUGACAGGACAGAGGAGCAGGCCAGGGAGCAGAAAUCCUUCCUGCAGAGGUUCGCCACCUCACCUGCCUUCCUGGACACCUCUCGGCUGGGCUCCUACCGCUUCACCUUCCCCCUGGAGGAGCUGCUCAAGAGAUACCGGGAACAGCUAUGCGUUGGACACGAGCCAAUCCUGCGUGUUUAUGAGACAGUCCUGUACAAACAGGAGGUGAUGUACUCAGUGCUAGUCCACAGUCACUACAACAACGACCUCUUUGAGAAGUACCCUCUCCUCCAGGACAAUGAUGAUGGAGUCUGUGCUUACAGAGAUGGACAAAUCAUUUGGAGACCCGAGGCCAUGUGUCAGACACACAGCUUGAAAUUGGUGCCAAAGCCCUACCAGAACCAGGAUGUAGCCCACCUGAUCCCUGAUCCACAGAAACACCAGUUCUACGUUUGGGACAACAUUGCUGUAGCGUUCCACAUGGACGGUUCACAGAUGUUGACCUUCGAUAGGUACAAUUUGAGACACCAUCUGAGAUUCUGUGAGCCAGGAACGCCACAAUUUUCCCCCGACUGUGAGUUCACCACAUACGAGGAGGCUAAAGACAUGGUGGACUGCUAUUGGCCUUACUACCCCACCCCCCUCUACUGAUAAACUUACUACCACACCCCCCUGUUCUGCUAAACUUACUACCCCACCCCCCUCUACUGAUAAACUUACUUCCACACCCCCCUUUCUAAUAAACUUACUACCACACUCCCCUGUUCUAAUAAACUUACUACCACUCCCCCUGUUCUAAUAAACUUACUACCACACCCCCUGUUCUAAUAAACUUACUACCACACCCCCUGUUCUAAUAAACGUACUACCACACCACCCUGUUCUAAUAAACUUACUACCACACCCCCUGUUCUAAUAAACUUACUACCACACUCCCCUGUUCUAAUAAACUUACUACCACUCCCCCUGUUCUAAUAAACUUACUACCACACCCCCUGUUCUAAUAAACUUACUACCACACCCCCUGUUCUAAUAAACUUACUACCACACCCCCUGUUCUAAUAAACUUACUACCACACCCCCUGUUCUAAUAAACUUACUACCACACUCCCCUGUUCUAAUAAACUUACUACCACUCCCCCUGUUCUAAUAAACUUACUACCACACUCCCCAUGUUCUAAUAAACUUACUACCACACCCCCUGUUCUAAUAAACUUACUACCACUCCCCCUGUUCUAAUAAACUUACUACCACUCCCCCUGUUCUAAUAAACUUACUACCACACCCCCUGUUCUAAUAAACUUACUACCACACUCCCCUGUUCUAAUAAACUUACUACCACACCCCUGUUCUAAUAAACUUACUACCACACCCCCUGUUCUAAUAAACUUACUACCACACCCCCUGUUCUAAUAAACUUACUACCACACCCCCUGUUCUAAUAAACUUACUACCACACCCCCUGUUCUAAUAAACUUACUACCACACCCCCUGUUUUAAUAAACUUACUACCACACUCCCCUGUUCUAAUAAACUUACUACCACACCCCCUGUUCUAAUAAACUUACUACCACACCCCCUGUUCUAAUAAACUUACUACCACACUCCCCUGUUCUAAUAAACUUACUACUAGAAUGAUGAUGAUCUACUAGGAUGGCUAUUUCUUGAUUUGUUGUUUGGAUUGUUUUCAUGAUUGUGUAUUUGAAUUGUAUUUGCGAGACAUUCUACUGCACUGUUGGAGCUAGUAACACAAUAUUUUACAUGCACCUGCCAUAACACCUGCAAAUCUGUGUACGUGACCAAUAAACUUUGAUUUGAUGAUGAUUUUGAAGUCAAACGGAAAGGUAAAGUUAAAAUUGUUAUUCUUUCAACAUGCUUCACUGGUUUAAACCCAGUAAGCUACAUGUGUUUGUGUUUUUUUUAGUCAGCAUUAGUACAUUGUCAGGUUUGAGAACAUAUUGCUUUUGUUAGUCAGCAGUAGUAUACUGUUUGUCAGGAUGGAGAACAUAUUGCUUUUGUUAGUCAGCAGUAGUAUACUGUUUGUCAGGAUGGAGAACAUAUUGCAUUUGUUAGUCAGCAGUACUAUAUUGUUUGUCAGGAUUGAGAAAAUAUUGCUUUUGUUAUUUUUGUGCCUUUGCUCUACAAAGAGCUAAAAGGACUCAAGUAUUUUUUGUUAAGUUAGAAUUUUUAAGAAAAUAAAUCUUCUACAUUGGGACUAAACUUUUUAGCCCAGUCUCUCAAUUCAGCCUAUGGCAAUCCUUCAUCACAAUGCUCUUGACAUGACCUGUAAUGCUUUAUUUAAUAUCAACAGACUGACAUGACCACUGCUACUCCUGUCUCUAGUUUCAACCCUUUGUUAUUCAUGAUUGGCAGCCCAGGACAGAAUCGGCAAACAUGGAAUCGUAUCCUCAGUUUGUUUGGCAAUGUCUCUUACAGUAGUAGUACAGCAGAGAAUUAUUUUUGCAGGGUGAUAUUGUCAGUUUGUUGUCACAUUUAGAUUUUUCUGCUGUAUAGAGUGAGAAAAAUGGUAACUCCCACCCUGUGCAGCAUUGUGUAAAGUUUCAGAUGCAUGGAAAGAUGACUGGGAAUAUGGCCGAAUACAAACAGUGUAGUUAUUCCCCCCGCAAGGCAAUCAAACAAGUGAAACUUCAGUAUAGGGACAAUUCAACGGCUCAGACACAAGACCGAUGUGGCAGGGACUACAGGAAAUCACGGACUACAAAAAGAAAACCAACCACGUCACGAACACCAACGUCUUGCUUCCAGACAAACUAAACACGUUCUUUGCCUGCUUUGAGGAUAAUACAGUGCCACCAACGCGGCCCGCCACCAAGGACUGUGCCCCCCUUCUCGGGCUGACGUGAGUAAGACAUUUAAACGUGUUAACCCUUGCAAGGCUGCCAGCCCAGACUACAGUGGUUCCUUAUGGGGGGUGAUUCAUGCCAGAAUUAAGCCUUGUGAAGCUACUGAUACCUCUCACCAAGUCACCUAACGUCUUCCUAGCGUCAUAAAAUAACGGCAUGAAUUAACAUGGACUGUCAAUGGAGACAAGUUUGUUUCUAAGGCAUCAAGCUGCCGACGCGUUCACGUCAUGUGACAUGUACACAUCAUGUAGACGUAGUGUUCACGUGGUGUUCACGUCACGUAACAUGCCACUGACACGUCACGUGUCAGUUUGUAUUUAAGUAUAUUAUGAAUGAUCUUACCAUGAAAUCCUUAAAAAUGCCUACAUGUGUUACGCGUUACGUGUUAGUUUAAGUGUCUGUUUAGUUCAUCAAUUUCAUUUGUUGAUUUAGCUAAAAUAGGCCUAUCUCCUCAAUACAAAAAUUAUUAGGCUAGUUGAUAUCGCAGGCACCAUUACUGUGUAGAUAUGCCUAUUUCUUCCAUCAGCAGAAAAUCAAGGGCUUCUUGGUAGCCUAGUGGUUAGAGCAUUGGGCAAGUAACUGAAAGGUUGCUAAAUCAAAUCCCAACGCUGGUUCUCUGGGCGACUGAAUACGUGUAUUUUGAUUAAGGCAGCCUCACGCAAUGCUCUGAUUCAGAGGGGUUGGGUUAAAUGCGGGAGACACAUUUCAAUUGUUGAGGUAGCCUAGGUCUCUAGUGGUGAAUUCAAAAUAACUCAGAAGUCAGAAAUCUCUGACUUCUGACUUCAGUGCGUUCAAGACAACCCGGAACUCUGAAAAAAACGAGGUCAGACUGGGAUUUUUGUUUUGUUUUGAACAGUCGUCCAACUCGGAAUCUCUGACCUGAAAAUCAAUGAUGUCAUGAUUUGACCUCGUUUCCCCCCCACUUCCCAGUUUACCGGAUUAACAGACACAACCAUGCAACCCUUCAUCUAUACAUUUCUGUGGAGAUGUUUUAUGGUUUAAAGCAGGGUUCAAAUUGAGGGGGUAUGUGAGGAUAUAGGCCUUGUUAUAGAUAUGUGCAAAAAGCAUAUGCUACCACUUGUUUGCUUAGCUUUAUGAAAAACAACAGUCCAGAUUAUAUAAAGCGAACAAGGCUAUAACAAUGAUUAACUCCACAAUUAUUUCAGCAUAGUCUACUAGCCUAUCAAAGUUCUUGCGCAGCCUAAACAUCACAGGAAAAUGUGGUUGGUUUAUUAAAUGCUUUGCAAUGUAGAGCUAUGCCUAAUGCAAAAUACCAAAAAGUUAGAAUUGGUGUGGGUCUAUGCAUCGACCAAACAGUUUAACAAAUUAAAACAUGUAUUAUUCAGGAGAUUCCAUUGAAUCAGGCUAUUCAUUUCAGUGCAGUUGCGUUCUUACUCAUAUUCUUACACUAAACGGAACCGAAAACACCCCAGCCUGUUUUGAUCACAGAUCAUGAUGAAUAUAUAAGCUGUUUGUCAUUGAUUUAGCCCACAAUUGCAUACAGAUUUGAUACACGUGAAGACCUAUAUUUAAUCUGGAAUUGACAAACAAAAGCCUGAAUAGGAUCCUGAUUUGCCUCCACGUCAUAUUUAUUACCAAUUAGGCUAAAUGUAUUCCUAAUAAUUUGCAUAGGCUAACCAUUCCGAUUAAUGUUAUUUAUCAUCUUCUGCUUUUUAUGAAUAAACAGGCAUCAGUGUAAACAUAAUAUCAUUUCAAUGCCCCAACACACACAUUAAUGUUACUUACCUUACAGAUCACAAAGUGAGCUAAUUUCCACUCCAUUCAUAUGCAAAUACAUUUGAUUCAUACACUGGCUUGUCUGGCUGUCAUGUUUUCAUUUUAAACAGGCAUUCCCUUAUCUACACUGAAAUAAUUUUAGUCCUCAAUUAUGAUUUAAAAAACAUAGGUCAUUACUGGUUGAGUAUAUGUCUAUUGUAUGUCUUAUGAUACAAUUAAUAAUGUUGAAUUAACAAAUACCAUCAAGGGAUACGUUAGAAUUUACAAUAACGAACACCUUACAGCUGUGAAAACCAAUCUAGCAAUAUUUUAGACUUAAAUACAUAACCAUUGAUAUUUUUUUGGUACGUGUGUCAAUUUACAUUCAGAUUCUUUGUACACUCACAUGGCAAUCAUAGACUAAAAUACAGAAUUCUGGUGUGUGGAAUAGAGAGGAGGUGGGUAUUGUGUGGAUGGGAGGUUCUGCCUGUCACUUGUUUUUCAACAGGUAGUGGACUCGAAGAGGGAAACUGCAAAGUCCAGGAACUGCUCCCCUCUUUGUUCUGAGUAUUUGCAGUGAUAAUUUUUAGCUAAUCUGUGCAGCUCACAUUAUGUUCCCAGUAUGAUAGUUUUCUUGCUCUUUCUUAGCAGAGAAUGACAACAUGACAAUAACAGUAGCUGAUGUAAUGAAAAGUUGGAGGGUGGUUGGUAAUGGAGGACAUCAGAUGGAUCCAUGUCUGGGUGUUAGGCAGAACCCCUAGGUCCUGGAGAACAGGAGCAGAGUAAAGGGAACAGGGUAGGAGACAGACGUAAACAAGCAAACACACAGGUUAAAUGAUUAUCAGGUAUGUAAAAAUACAGUUAUUGAAUGAUUUAAUUUAAAUGUUUGAUUAGACAUGCAAUAAUGUUAAUGGCAGACAGAAAAGAAAGGAUACCUGUCUAAUUUUUUACAUCAGUGGGGUUGGUAAAGGAUGGUCCCUGGAAAAUAUAGAGAGAUGAGUUGUGAGAGAAACUCCAGGGUGGUGUCAUGACAACUGGAGUCAUACACCUUAACAGUACCAACCUGGAAGUGGCGGUUACUUAAUGUGACCCAGUGGUUAGCCUUGAGAUUGACUACUUGGAAAAAAUGUUGGUACUGCUGACAGCAUGGUAAUGCCGCCCACCACGAGACAGCAA
rnacentral:lncRNA from 1 species